UUUUUGGGAUUUUCAAAGAAAUUUGUUGAAAUUUUUUAUUAAAUCUUUUUGUUCCUUUAUUUUCUAUGGGAAUAAAUUAGUUUCAUUAGAAAAUUAUCUUAUUAUAAUAAUAACUAUUUAUUUAUUUGUUUGAUGAUUAGUUUUUCUUGAACUUUUAAGGGGAUUUGUUCUACAUAUAAUCUAGAUGUAGAAUCCAGCUGUGAGGAUAUCAGAUUGGAUCAUUGAGGCUAUAGUCAUAUGUUUUACUACAAUUCUGUGCAUUUGGUUACGCUAAGCUAGAAAGACUUUUCAACUAUGUCACUUCACUGUGUCAUGCUCUGAUGUUCUAUUUGAUCUUUUCCUUCAUUGUUGCUAGGUCUGUGCUACAUUCUACUAGGAAGUUGGUUCUUCUCUUUACUUUUAUUUAUGUAACUGAGCUAUAGAGUGAUGGAUGUUAAAUGAUCUAAUGGUUCUCUUUACUUUUAUUUAUGUAACUGAGCUAUAGAGUGAUGGAUGUUAAAUGAUCUAAUGGUUGGAUGAAUGAAGUACAAAUGGAAGCUUCAAAUAAAUGCUGUGUUGUGCCUUCAGUUUCAAGAUUUUAGAAUUCUGGGAAGAUUUAUCAGAUUCUGAAUGUCCCCAUUUUCUUGAAAAACUCCGGUAGAACACCAUGAAGUUUAGAUAUUUGAAGAAAUGAACCAGUCUCGGGUACUUUCUCAGUUAGUUUUGUUAGAUGAUCAGAAUCUAAUAGAUAUCUGAUCUUAUUAUUUAGAAGUGCUCCUCAUUUGUUCACACAUCUUUUACCUUCUGAGGUUAGUGCAAUGAUCUUACAUAGCCAUCGGAGAUUACCUGAUGGAUAUCAUUCUACUUGUUACUAUUAGCAUUUCUUGUCUGUGGACCCUUGUCCCUGUUUAGUUCAUGAAGUUUUGAUGAAGACUGCAUUAAAUGCUCCUAUCAUUCCAAGAUAGAUCUGCAAGAGUUCCGAGAUUGUGGUAGGUGACUUGUUCACUAAAUGUUCUUCAUAAUUGGAUUUAACAGCUUGACAUUGUUAACAACUAUUCAUGGGUAUUCUGAGAUGGUGUAGUUGUGAGGUGUCUACAGAGGCUGAACUAGCGAAACUUGGUUGCAGGAUCCUAGUGGUUCUACGCUGGUUAAUUCAAUGAGAUCCCUUUUCCUUUUCUUAUAAGGUGUUGGUAGAGGUGGUGUGGGCUAGCUGAGGAUGACGUCUUCCAAGGGUGACAACUGAAAGUUUCUCUCUCUCUCUCUCUCUCUGCUUUGACUGAUCUUGUUUGCAAUAUAAUGGUUCUUCAUUUUGCCUUUGUUCAAGAUAUACAACCCAGUUUGAUUGUUUUAAAAAAAGAUGCUUAUGGAAGGCAGCACUGGAUAUUUAUGGUUCUUAAGGAUUUAAAAUGAGGGCAGAUUGGGCUUCUUUUGCUGGUGGCAUAUUCUAUUGUUAAUAGUGUGAUGGACUCUGCAUCUCUUCCUUGCACAAUUGAAUUUGCAACUGUCUGUAAGGCUUUACAUUGUGAUAUUUGUGAGUUGAAAUUCCUCGAUGGAUGGAUUCUGUUCGGCGGUUUUGAUUAUAUUCUUGGAAUACUUCUGUUUUGGUUGAUUCCUGAUUUCUCCACCUUUCAAGGUAGUAUGAAAUCAGACAUAAUGAGCAAGCUAAGAAAUAGAUUAAAAAAUAGACUAAUGAUCUACUCUCAUAAAUAAUGCAAACAAUUGUUUUUGCAACUCUUGGAAACUUUAUCUUGCACUAUUGAGAAGUUUGAACCUGUUCACAUUACUUUAUGCAGGUGAUCUUUCCACCAGCUGUUUUUCAUAAUUGCAUGUGGUUGGUUCUUUGUUUAUAAACGUCUAAUUGAGGUUAUAUUGAUGAAAUUGGGGCUAGAUUCUAAAAGGAUAUUGCAGAUAUCCAUGAUUGAUCAGCUUGGAUUUGUUGCUUUAAUUGUUGUUGAUGGUAGUAAAUAUAACCAUUCUGUUACAGAAUCUCUUUCAAUUUACCUGAUUUAUUUCCCUACAAGCUUCCUUGGCGUGCAGUUCAGAAGGAAGCACCGAUGAGAGUGAGCAGGGAAGAGCUGGAAUGGCAGUCUUUGGCUACAAGUCAAUCAGACUCUCGUCCAGAGCAUUUUCUAGAGUGGUAUCAAACUCAAUGGUUUAAAUAGUGUUCCUUCUAGACUUUGGUUUAUCUGGCUUUCAUUUUGGCACCUGAUUUCAUUAGUUCCAUUUGAGCGCUGAUGUUCAGUUCCUCUGCUCUUUAAUGUUUGCUUUUGGGGUCACAUUUCCCUUCUCUCUGGUUCAAAUAUUAUCCAGAGAAGCUAUGUUAUGAAAAUUUGGGGCUGUCUAGACGACGUUAUGCAUGUUCAUAUGAAAUGUGGCGUUUCUUUGCUAUCCUCACAAUUCCAAGUACAACGAAAGUCCUUUCAGCCAACUGAUAACUGAUCAACUUUUUGUUGCCUUGUCAUCUGACAUAUCCUUGCCAGCUGGAGUACAGUUGCUAUAAGCUGUAUUUAUUUGCAGAUGAUGCACGCUGUGUAGGAGGCGUGAAUUCAAAAUUUUCUUCUAUCUUGUUUGUAGCCUUUGUGGAAUAUUUGUCGACAUAUCUUUUCCUUGUGUUGUACCCAAGAACGCAUGGCAUGCAGAUCAUAUCAUAUCUACACAUGGCAUGCAGAUCAUAUCAUAUCUAUGGUGGACUGCCAGAUUGGUUUUAUUAUAGCUUGGCAGAUUUCAUCCGAGCCUGGGUUUAUGGAUACAAAAUGACUCACCAGUCGGUCAAUGAAAAGCUCAUGCUACCUAGGACACCAAGUAUGGUUCUGACACGCAAGUUCAAGGAAUCUCUCUCUCUGACUUCACACUUCCAAGUGCAGUUGAAUCAAUCAUUGUUUGACAGACCAAAGGACCUUAUAAAUACAAGGUGACGAGAGGCAUAUUUGCUAGAAGUAACUGGUUAUGGAUAUUACAGACAGCUCAAGAUGUCCUGUGUUGGCCAUCCAACUUCUGCAAUGGAAUGCAAAAUGAACUUUGUGGAUUGCACGAACCACUUAUUUUGUCUGCUGUCUUUUAAGAGUAAUUUUUACGUUACCCUAUUAUUUAUCCAGUAAGCUAUGUGCCGGCAGAUACCUUGUUUUGAAAUAAGCAAUUAUUUUUAACUAUAUGUUCAUUGAUGAAGGGAUCGAUAACCCCUAA